CUAGAAUACACAAUGCUGUGACUAAAUCAUGCUGAUAUGCUCAAACGAAAACCGGCAAAAAGAGACCGGUGCCAUGGCCGAAGCCAGGUGCAAGGGCGUACAACGCCGAACCACGAUCAACCAGAUCGAAACACAUGACAAGAGAGUCGAUGUGUUGCCUGGACCCAAGGUCCACAGAGAUGCAAUAUACGAGUGCAAGCCUGCUCUACAUGUCUAUCCACAACUAUACAAAUGCAAUCAACGGAAUACGAUAAACAAGCGAUAA
rnacentral:lncRNA from 1 species